rnacentral:rRNA from 1 species
AUUGAACGCUGGCGGCAGGCCUAACACAUGCAAGUCGAGCGCGCGGCGGACGGGUGAGUAAUAUAUCGGAACGUGCCCAGUAGCGGGGGAUAACUACUCGAAAGAGUGGCUAAUACCGCAUACUUUUCGAUCGGCCGAUAUUGGAUUAGCUAGUUGGUGGGGUAAUGGCUCACCAAGGCAACGAACCGUAGCUGGGUUGAGAGGACGACCAGCCACACUGGGACUGAGACACGGCCCAGACUCCUACGGUAGGCAGCAGUGGGGAAUAUUGGACAAGGGGGGAAACCCUGAUUCAGCCAUCCCGCGUGUAUGAGAAGGCCUUCGGGUUGUAAAGUACUUUUAGCAGAGAAGCGGUAUCUGCAGAAUAAGCACCGGCUAACUACGUGCCAGCAGCCGCGGUAAUUC